CGGGCACGGUGCAGCGCCGCCUCCCGUUCGCCUCUGCGCCUGGCCCGGCGACUGCGGGCGCUGCGGUCCACUGGGUCCGCCUCUUCCCGGCAUGGGUUUCUGCCCAGCUCACCCGCUGUCAGCUGGGGUCCUGCUCUGGUGGGAGGAAGAGGCUCAGACGCUUCCCUGCCCUCUCGCCUCAACCACCUCGAGGCAGCGGCUCCCAGGAUGUGCACUUUGACGACUAAAGCUGAGCCGGCGCCGCCACGACCUUGGGCGGGUGGUCGGCCUCUGCCCUGAGCAGGAAGUAGAAAGUCUCAGCAGACCCUUCCUGAGGGCCGAGCAACAGUGUAGUGGCGUAUUCCACAUAGCAAACAGGGACCCUGGGAGCAUCUGUGUUCUCGUGUUCUUCUUGCCUGUGAGGCCUCUUCUCUCUGAGGACAGAUGGUAGGACAGAGAGAAGACAGCAAAUGGAAAACAAAGGCUGCUAUUUUUUUGUGGGGUGUGUACAAUAUCUAUUCUACAUCUCUGCCCAUCCCCAUUUUCUCCUCCUCCAGAGAGCAUACAAUUAAGGCUAUAAACUGAAGUGGAGCCCCCAUUAUUUACCCCUAAAAAUGAAUACAGAUCUCAGCCUCUCAUUACCCCUUGGUUAGAAAGAGAGAGCAUUUUGGUCUGUUUGGGCGACUAUAACAAACAUACCUUAAACUGGGUGGCUUUUAAACAACAGAAAUUUGUUGCUCACAGUUCUGAAGACUGGUAAGUUCAAGAUCAAAGCACCAGCAGAUUUGGUGUCUGGUGAGGGCCCACUUCCUGGAUCAUAGAUGAUGCCUUCUUGCUGUGUCCUCACAUAGUAGAAGGGCAAGGCAGCUCUCUGGACCCCUUUCUUUCCUUUUCUUUUCUUUUCUUUUUUCUUUUCUUUUCUUCUCUUUCCAUUAAUCCGGUCCAUGAGGGCUCCAUCCUUAUAACCUAAUCACUUCUCAAAGGUCCCAUCUCCUAAUACUAUCGAGUUGGUAAUUAGGAUUCAACAUAUUAAUCUGUGGAGGAAGGGGACACAAAAAUUCAGACCAUAGCUGGUAGUGAUGAAGAUAGAAUGAGCCAGGUCCCAAUGUGGGGCCAGGUGUGAGGGGGGCAGUAGCUGGUCAUGGACAUGUGGAUGUUUGCUGAGUGAUGGGUGAGCAAGUCCCUGCCAUCUCAUAGGGACACUGUAAAAACUGCCCUCUUGAUGACCUUAGCAGUGCAAUCAUAUUAGCAAUGACAUCCACCUUGAGGAGGGAAAAGAUGGGUGUGAACAAGAAGGAUAGUUUCUUUCUCCUUACAGCAUCCAUUAUGUAGCAUAAAAAUUAGGGCCCCCAUGUAUCCAGGAAAGCAGUCAGAGCAUUCAUUAUUCAAUAACCAUAGGUGCUUAUUCCAUACUGUUAUGGACUGAAUCGUGUCACCUCCAAAUUCAUAUGUUGAAGCCCUAACUACCAAUAUGACUGUAUUUGGAGAUAACACCUUCAAGAAGGUAAUCAAGGUUAAAUGAGGUCAUAAGGAUUGGAUCCUAAGCUGAUAGGACUGGUGUCCUUAUAAAAAGAGACACUAGAGAUCUCUCUCUCUCUUUGUAUACACAGAGAAAAAGUCAUGUGAUGACACACCAAGAAGGUGGCUGUCUGCAAGCCAGGAAGAGAGGCCUUACCAGAAACCAAUCCUGGUGCACCUUAAUCUCAAACUUGAGCCUCCAGGACUGUACGAAAAUAAAUAUUUGUUGUGUAAGCACCCCCAGUGUAUGCUAUUCUGUUAUGGCAGCCCUAGCACACUAAUAUAAAUGCCUACUGCCUGCAAAGUGCUUUGCCUUUGAGGGUUGCAAAAGAGGAUCCCCUCCAGGGAUCCAUGGUCUCAUUGGGAUUUUCCUGUUUGGUCUGUGUCCUGUUCUUGAGUCUCCGCAGGCAGCAUUUCUUCCUGUGACAAUAUGGUGUAAGACAAAAUUGUGGCCUGCCAUGAAGUUGUGAGAGAAAAGCAUCCCUCAUUUCUUCAGGAAAGGCCACUGCCGUUCCCUCCGGCUCCUCUUCUCAGGAGUUUGUGCAUUCAUGAGGUGAAUUCCUUGGAAGAUGAGGGCCAAGUCUUAUUCUUCUCAGUCUCUUCUGCAUCUAGCAGAAGAAUAAUGGUUGCACAGAAAAUCUUGGUUCAGUGGUUGAGUGAAUGAAUGGAUGAACAGGCUCUUGCACACAAAGAAGAGACAUGAUGUAUUUGCAUCCUUCCCUGCUUCAGCCAGUUUUCUGAAGCUCAGAGGGACACCUUGUAUUGCUGGAUGAUAAAAACAGGAGCAAAGUGAUGAAGUGCUGACAAGGCAACAAUAGAACAUGAGAGAUUCACUGCUGUGUAGGAAGAGAUCUUCGGUGACCAUGUAGCCUGAAGCUCUCAUUUUGUCAUCGAGGGACACCAAAACUCAGAACAGCAGCAGCUCACGCUGCUGAUGCAACACAGGUGAAGAGCACCUUCCCCUCCCCCACCUGUGGGCUGAUUCCCACCACGUGGAUCCCAAGGCCAUCCCAGGAACUCUUUGGAGGGGAGAAGCCCAGUGGAAACUGUCAGGCCUCUGAGCACAAGCCAAGCCAUCGCAUCCCCUGUGACUUGCACGUAUAUGCCCAGAUGGCCUGAAGUAACUGAAGAAUCACAAAAGAAGUGAAAAGGCCCUGCCCCACCUUAACUGAUGACAUUCCACCAUUGUGAUUUGUUCCUGCCCCACCUUCACUGAGUGAUUAACCCUGUGAAUUUCCUUCUCCUGGCUCAGAAGCUCCCCCACUGAGCACCUUGUGACCCCCGCCCCUGCCCACCAGAGAACAACCCCCUUUGACUGUAAUUUUCCAUUACCUUCCCAAAUCCUAUAAAACGGCCCCACCCCUAUCUCCCUUCGCUGACUCUCUUUUCGGACUCAGCCCGCCUGCACCCAGGUGAAAUAAACAGCCAUGUUGCUCACA
rnacentral:lncRNA from 10 species